rnacentral:rRNA from 1 species
UACGUAGGGUGCGAGCGUUGCCCGGAAUUAUUGGGCGUAAAGAGCUCGUAGGCGGUCUGUCGCGUCGGUCGUGAAAACUUGGGGCUUAACCCUGAGCUUGCGGUCGAUACGGGCAUGACUGGAGUUCGGCAGGGGAGACUGGAAUUCCUGGUGUAGCGGUGAAAUGCGCAGAUAUCAGGAGGAACACCGGUGGCGAAGGCGGGUCUCUGGGCCGAUACUGACGCUGAGGAGCGAAAGCGUGGGGAGCGAACAGG